UACGGAGGGUGCAAGCGUUAUCCGGAUUCACUGGGUUUAAAGGGUGCGUAGGCGGGCAGGUAAGUCAGUGGUGAAAUCUCCGGGCUUAACCCGGAACUGCCGUUGAUACUAUCUGUCUUGAAUAUCGUGGAGGUAAGCGGAAUAUGUCAUGUAGCGGUGAAAUGCUUAAUAUAGUACAUAGAACACCCAUUGCGAAGGCAGCUUACUACACGAUCAUUGACGCUGAGGCACGAAAGCGUGGGGAGCAAACAGG
rnacentral:rRNA from 1 species